AUUGAACGCUGGCGGCAUGCUUUACACAUGCAAGUCGAACGGCAGCGCGGGCUUCGGCCUGGCGGCGAGUGGCGAACGGGUGAGUAAUGCAUCGGAACGUGCCCAGUAGUGGGGGAUAGCCCGGCGAAAGCCGGAUUAAUACCGCAUACGACCUGAGGGUGAAAGCGGGGGACCGAAAGGCCUCGCGCUAUUGGAGCGGCCGAUGUCGGAUUAGCUAGUUGGUGGGGUAAAGGCUUACCAAGGCGACGAUCCGUAGCUGGUCUGAGAGGACGACCAGCCACAGUGGGACUGAGACACGGCCCAGACUCCUACGGGAGGCAGCAGUGGGGAAUUUUGGACAAUGGGGGCAACCCUGAUCCAGCCAUGCCGCGUGCGGGAAGAAGGCCUUCGGGUUGUAAACCGCUUUUGUUCGGGAAGAAAUCCUCUGGGCUAAUACCCCGGGGGGAUGACGGUACCGGAAGAAUAAGCACCGGCUAACUACGUG
rnacentral:rRNA from 1 species